UAGCGUAUAUUAUUAUUAUUUUUUGAGUUGGAAUCUCACUCUAUCACCCAGGCUGGAGUGCAG
rnacentral:snoRNA from 1 species